GGGGAAUAUUGCACAAUGGGGGAAACCCUGAUGCAGCGACGCCGCGUGAGUGAUGAAGUAUUUCGGUAUGUAAAACUCUAUCAGCAGGGAAGAUAAUGACGGUACCUGACUAAGAAGCACCGGCUAAAUACGUGCCAGCAGCCGCGGUAAUACGUAUGGUGCAAGCGUUAUCCGGAUUUACUGGGUGUAAAGGGCGUGUAGGCGGAGAUGCAAGUUGGGAGUGAAAACCAUGGGCUCAACCCAUGAACUGCUCUCAAAACUGUAUCCCUUGAGUAUCGGAGAGGCAAGCGGAAUUCCUAGUGUAGCGGUGAAAUGCGUAGAUAUUAGGAGGAACACCAGUGGCGAAGGCGGCUUGCUGGACGACAACUGACGCUGAGGCGCGAAAGCGUGGGGAGCAAACAGGAUUAGAUACCCUGGUAGUCCACGCUGUAAACGAUGAAUACUAGGUGUGGGAGGACUGACCCCUUCCGUGCCGCAGUUAACACAAUAAGUAUUCCACCUGGGGAGUACGACCGCAAGGUUGAAACUCAAAGGAAUUGACGGGGGCCCGCACAAGCAGUGGAUUAUGUGGUUUAAUUCGACGCAACGCGAAGAACCUUACCAGGAUUUGACAUCCAACUAACGAAGUAGAGAUACAUCAGGUACCCUUCGGGGGAAGUUGAGACAGGUGGUGCAUGGUUGUCGUCAGCUCGUGUCGUGAGAUGUUGGGUUAAGUCCCGCAACGAGCGCAACCCCUAUUGUUAGUUGCUACGAAAGAGCACUCUAGCGAGACUGCCGUUGACAAAACGGAGGAAGGCGGGGACGACGUCAAAUCAUCAUGCCCCUUAUGUCCUGGGCUACACACGUAAUACAAUGGCGGUCAACAGAGGGAAGCAAAGCCGCGAGGUGGAGCAAAUCCCUAAAAGCCGUCUCAGUUCGGAUUGCAGGCUGCAACUCGCCUGCAUGAAGCUGGAAUUGCUAGUAAUCGCGGAUCAGCAUGCCGCGGUGAAUACGUUCCCG
rnacentral:rRNA from 1 species